GGUAUUCAGCUGAGGAUGAUCUUGAGAGUCUGAUCCUUUCACAUCGACCUCCCCAGUGCUGGAUUUCAGGAGCCCUCAAGGCAGAAGAUGAUGCGGACUGAGCACACUUCCUCUGGUCACCUCUUAAGCUUGAUUCCCACUCAGUGAGAGGCCUGCACAUCGUGGGACAUCCACUCCCUCUCCCUGUCUGUGCAGAAGUUUAUUGUCUCUGCAGGUUUGUUGUUCUCUCUCCCCAGAGAUGCACCAGAGGGGAGAGAGAGAUGAGAGACUGGGGGGCUGGGUGACUUUCUUGUUUUGCAAUGUCUGUGGCCAUUUGUGGCUUGUUGUAACUCCGCAGUAGAUUGGUACUAAAAACAACAGCAUGCAUUUUAAAGGGCUCUUGAUAGUUACCAUGGUAAUUUGAGAUUUUGAUAAAUAAAAAUAUAUUCUGGGGAAUAAGAAGAAGUCAGAGGUUUAACCUUCAGAAAACCUCAUUAUACUAAUGAUGGGUGAAGAAUGAGGGAGAAAUGUUAAAAUCAUGGCCCUGCGCUAGCAUCAACUCAGUUCCAGCCUAAAAAUGAAGGAUUUUUGUUGUCAGUAGGAACAUAUAUCCUUACAAUCUCAAACGCUAUCUGAAGCCAAAACAAUGCACCAUUAAGGGUAAGUGGUCUUUAGGACUUUAGGUUUCAGAGGUCAGCAUAAAGGACAUUGUCUUACAGAUAACAGGCAUAUCCCAGACACCAGGGCCUUUGUUGCAAAGAAGAAGCUGAGCCACCAACCCCAGACCUGUCCCUAAGGCCUCCACUUAAACCAACCAGUGGUAAUAAGACAAGCGGAAGCUGCUCAUACAAUGACACACAAUUACUUACACAUGGAUUUUAGAGGCACACAUACCAUUUUGUAUGUAGACAUACACACAGAAACACACCGUCAGCCUUCCCUAAAUGCCAAUCCUCAACUGCCAGUUCAGCCAAAUACAGAUUUAAAAUAUGUGAGAAAGUGACAUCUACACAGGACAGGCCCGGACUCCCUCUUGUCAGUGUUCCCUGAACAAGUACAGUAGAAGGAUUUACACAGAACCUACAUGGCAUUAGAGACAGUGAUCUAGACGGACUUAGAGUGCAGGAGGGGUAGGUAGGUUACAUGAAAUUCCAUGCUACUUUCCAUGAAGGACUUGAACACUCACAGAGUUUGGUAUCUUAAGAGGGCUUUGGAAUCAGUUCCCUGAGGGUAACUGUUGAUAUACAUGUAGACACCACACACACACACACACACACACACACACACAC